UACGGAGGGUGCAAGCAUUAAUCGGAUUUAUUGGGCGUAAAGGGCGCGUAGGCGGGAAGAUAAGUCGGAUGUGAAAUCCCGGGGCUCAACCCCGGAACAGCAUCUGAAACUGUUUUUCUUGAGGGUAGGCGGAGAAAACGGAAUUCCACAAGUAGCGGUGAAAUGCGUAGAUAUGUGGAAGAACACCGGUGGCGAAGGCGGUUUUCUAGCUUAAACCUGACGCUGAGGCGCGAAAGCAAGGGGAUCAAACAGG
rnacentral:rRNA from 1 species